AACAUGGAAUAUUCUGCUUUUCAAGAGGUGUAUAAGCUAGUCUUAAGAUAAGAUGUUCAAGAGAGCAUGCUAAGUUGCAUGUGCUAUAGAUGACAGACACCUUUACAGCCCCUCCGUUCCCACCAGAGGUGACACAGGAAGCUCUGUAAAGUUCAAGUAAAGCUUGAACACAGGAACAGUACAACUGCCAGAUGCUGAGGAGAAUCAGGAAAGCAAUGAGCUAGACUUUUCUUUUAGUCAAUUAAGUGGGUUAUUUUAGUUGCAUAGAGUAUUGAUAUGUGUUAACUCUUUUUAGUAGAUGGCAAAGUGGGCUUGAUGUUCAAAAAUAAUGUUCAAGUUAGGGUACAUGGUCCCUUUCUCAGUGAUUUUUUUAAUAAAAGUAAACAUUGGUUCAAAGACAAAUAGCAAGUAUUCCCCCCUGUGCUAUUUAUAGAGGGCUCAAUUCAUGGAAAGGCAGACCCUCCAAUGCAAUUCUGUGGCUAUCUCUUACAGUGGUUUCAGAAUCACAAUAAAACAGCUAGUAAAUAGGAUAGAAACAACAAAAGAGUUUAGAAGUUCCCUGUGAGCAAUCUGUGUCUCCAGCAAGCUUGAACCAAAGUCUCCAUAUCCUGACCCACUGAAUUAUAAGCAGUUCCUACUUGCCCAUCUUGCCAAAGUGGUCCACACACACUUCGAUGAGGACAGUUAUAUUUAGCAGGUCCUCAUCCCUGCAAGAGACAGGGAUGUCCUUGCAGACAUCCCUGCAAGAUCCUCACUAUUAUUAUUCAUGUGUUAUUGGCAAAAACAUAGCUUGCAUCUUUCCAGAGGCAGAGUUUCAAAGACAGGGUUUUCUUUGAGACAUAAGCACAUUGCUUACAUACAUAACAAGGUUAUUAACACUUGCACUCAGGGGAAAGGAAAUAGCUAUUGCAAAUUAAUGUGUGCUACUUUAUCAAAUAAGCUGUUUGUGUAUAUGAAUUUAGCUCUAGGUAAGCAAAAUGCACACAUCAUAUAAAAAUAAAUUGCAAUGAUCAGACCAAAUGGCUGUGCUGGACAUCAAAGAAAAGACGUUGCCAUCAGGAGAACUCUUUCUUACAUGCGAUAGCCAAGAUAUCUUCUUUAAUAGGAAAAAAGUUAAUUUCUCAAUUUCAAAAAGAAUAAGAUUAGCUAAUUGGUCAUCCUAAUUUUUAUGCCUUUAGAGUUUUUAGUCUAUUCAAGUAGAAGAGUCCAGCGAGGCCAAAGAAGGGUUAUGGUGUUCAAGUUCUGGUUGCUGGAGUUUUUAGCCCAGAGUGACAUAUUGAAAUCAGUAAAUAGUUAUUUUAUAAUGACACAGCACAACAGCCUUGUUAUGAAUUUUUCUUAAACGCAUAUAUACUGUAUUUAAAAUUAAAAUAUAGAUACCAAUUUACCAAAGAUACAUAUUACUAAUUCUAAGCAAAAAUUUAAAAAAAAAAAAAA
rnacentral:lncRNA from 1 species